rnacentral:piRNA from 1 species
AGCCAAAGGAGGUUGAAAAGCUUGUCA